CCUACGGGAGGCAGCAGUAGGGAAUCUUUCACAAUGGGCGAAAGCCUGAUGGAGCAACGCCGCGUGCAGGAUGAAGGCCUUAGGGGUGUAAACUGCUUUUAUAAGCGAGAAAUAUGAUGGUAACUUAUGAAUAAGGAACGGCUAACUACGUGACAGCAACCGCGGUCAUCCGUAGGAGACGAGCAUUAUACGGAGGUGCUUGGGGUUAAAAGUUGCGUAGGUGGUAUAAUAAGUCGCUAGUGAAAUGUUGUGGCUCAACCAUUCAGACUAUUAUCGAAACUGUUAAGCUAGAGACCGUUAGGGGUAACUGGAAUUUCUAGUGUAGGAGUGAAAUCCGUAGAUAUUAGAAAGAACACCAAUAGCGUAGGCAGGUUGCUGGGACGGUUCUGACACUAAGGCACGAAAGCGUAGGGAGCAAACGGGAUUAGAUACCCGAGUAGUC
rnacentral:rRNA from 1 species